rnacentral:rRNA from 1 species
CAGUUCGGAUUGUAGUCUGCAACCCGACUACAUGAAGCCGGAAUCGCUAGUAAUCGCGGAUCAGAAUGCCGCGGUGAAUACGUUCCCGGGUCUUGUACACACCGCCCGUCACACCAUGGGAGUCGGAAAUGCCCGAAGUCAGUGACCUAACCGAGAGGGAGGAGCUGCCGAAGGCGGGGCCGGUAACUGGGGUGAAGUCGUAACAAGGUAUC